rnacentral:rRNA from 1 species
UAAACUAGGCAUUAGAUACCCUAUUAUUCUAAAAUAAAAUUAAGAUAUUGGAGAUUAAAUGUAAAUCAUUAAAUUUAAAUAGUUUGGCGGUAUUUUAAAAAGUUAGAGGAAUCUGUUGAGUAAAUGAUAAUCCACGAUAGGGGGGUCCUGAUAUAUUUUUAUGUAUUGUUGUUUGGAUAUUAGUUUAUAAGGAUUUAAUAGAAAUUUAGAAUUAUAGAGCAAUUCAAAUCAAAAUGUAGAAUUAUUAGGUUUAAAUGGAUUACAAUUAAGAUUAUUAUUAGAACUUAGAUUUUAAAUAUCAAAGUAAAAGAGGAUUUAAUAGUAAGGUUAUAGAAUAAUAUAAUUUGAAUAAUAUAUAAAAUAUGUACAAAUUGCCGUUCAUUUUCAAAUA